rnacentral:rRNA from 1 species
UACGUAGGGUGCGAGCGUUGUCCGGAUUUAUUGGGCGUAAAGAGCUCGUAGGCGGUUUGUCGCGUCGGCCGUGAAAUCUCCACGCUUAACGUGGAGCGUGCGGUCGAUACGGGCAGACUUGAGUUCGGUAGGGGAGACUGGAAUUCCUGGUGUAGCGGUGAAAUGCGCAGAUAUCAGGAGGAACACCGGUGGCGAAGGCGGGUCUCUGGGCCGAUACUGACGCUGAGGAGCGAAAAGCGUGGGGAGCGAACAGG